GUGCUGACCAAUAGACUAAAGAAUAAAAGAAGAGGGAAAGCCAGCUUUGCAGCACUCAAACUCGACAUGAGCAAGGCGUACGAUCGAAUUGAAUGGACUUUCUUGAGGGACAUGAUGAUAAAGAUGGGGUUUAACUCUUCCUGGGUCAAGCUCAUUAUGAACUGCGUCACCACGGUUCGUUAUCAAAUAAAGAAAGCGGAGGAACGUGGAAAAAUAAUAGGCAUCAAAGUAUGCAAAAGAGCUCCAAGCAUUAAUCAUCUCCUCUUUGCAGAUGAUUCUUUACUGCUCUUCAAAGCUGAAAAUAGGACUGCAAUAGAGAUAAAUCAUAUCCUGGAGACAUAUGCUGGUUGCUCAGGUCAAGUAAUCAAUAAGGAGAAAUCUGCCAUAAUGUUUAGCAAGAAUACCCAGCAUCAGCAGAAGAAUAUGAUCAUGUCAGCAUUGCAUAUUACAAGGGAGGCAAGAACAGAGAAGUAUUUAGGG